GAUGAACGCUGGCGGCGUGCCUAAUACAUGCAAGUCGAGCGAACAGACGAGGAGCUUGCUCCUCUGACGUUAGCGGCGGACGGGUGAGUAACACGUGGAUAACCUACCUAUAAGACUGGGAUAACUUCGGGAAACCGGAGCUAAUACCGGAUAAUAUAUUGAACCGCAUGGUUCAAUAGUGAAAGACGGUUUUGCUGUCACUUAUAGAUGGAUCCGCGCCGCAUUAGCUAGUUGGUAAGGUAACGGCUUACCAAGGCGACGAUGCGUAGCCGACCUGAGAGGGUGAGCGGCCACACGGGAACAGAGACACGGUGCGGAGAGCGACGGGGGGCACCAGGGGGGAAGCGUCAGAAAGGGGCGAAAGGGUGACGGAGCAAAGACGGGGGAAAGAAGAAGGUAUGCGGAUCGCAAAACUAUGUGAUGAGGGAAAAACAAAAGUGCAAGGAACUAUGCACGUCAGGACGGGAGCUAAUCAGAAAGCCACGACUAGGUACAUG
rnacentral:rRNA from 1 species